GAUGAACGCUGGCGGCGUGCCUAAUACAUGCAAGUCGAGCGAAGAGACUAGGAACUUGUACCUCCUGGAUGAGCGGCGAACGGGUGAGUAACGCGUGGGGAACCUGCCUUUGAGCGUGGGACAACUUCUGGAAACGAAUGCUAAUACCGCAUAAUAACUUUAACCACAAGUUUCAAGAGUGAAAGACGCUAUUGCUUUACCCAAAGAUGAUCCCGGGUGGUAUUUGCCAGUUGGUAAGGAAAAGGCCUACCAAGGCAAGGAUGAUUAACCGAACGGAGAGGGUGACCGGCAAAAUGGGACCUGAGACACGGUCCAGACUCCUCCGGGAGGAACAAGAAGGGAAUCUUCGGAAAGGGGCGAAAGCUGGACGGAGAACCGCGGCGUGAGUGAGGAAGUUCUCGGGUCCGAAAACUCCGGUGAUUAGGGAAGAAGAAAUGGGUAAGGAAAUGCGCACCAAGUGACGGUAACUACCCAGAAAGCGACGGCUAACUACGUG
rnacentral:rRNA from 1 species